GUCCUAUAAAGAUGCAUCAACGCUAGAUAGUUGAGCAUUUCCCUGUAGGAUGAAGUUUAUUAGAAACUCUGGUAACAAUUUUCAUUGUGUGGCUAAAGUCGAAAUGGAAUGAGUCAGAGUGGAAUAGGUUAACCGUAAGACCUUGAGUUGAAAAACUCUAAAAUUGAGCUAGAGAUGUGGAUUUCUGAAAUUUCGCAUUUUCUAGUUACGGUUUU
rnacentral:sRNA from 12 species